rnacentral:rRNA from 1 species
GCUUACGGCCAAACCGGCCUGAGUACGCCUGAUCUCGUCCGAUCUCGGAAGCUAAGCAGGGUCGGGCCUGGUUAGUACUUGGAUGGGAGACCGCCUGGGAAUACCAGGUGCUGUAAGCU